UGACCUCAAAUCAGGUAGGACUACCCGCUGAACUUAAGCAUAUCAAUAAGCGGAGGAGAAAAAACUAACAAGGAUUCCCCUAGUAACGGCGAGUGAAGCGGGAUGAGCUCAAAUUUAAAAGCUGGUAUCUUUCGAUGCCCGCGUUGUAAUCUCGAGAAGUGUUAUCUGUGAUGGGUCAUGUACAAGUUCCUUGGAAUAGGACAUCAGAGAGGGUGAGAAUCCCGUACUUGACAUGAAUUCCAUUGCUUUGUGAUAUACUCUCUAUGAGUCGAGUUGUUUGGGAAUGCAGCUCAAAAUGGGUGGUAAAUUCCAUCUAAGGCUAAAUAUUGGGGAGAGACCGAUAGCGAACAAGUACCGUGAGGGAAAGAUGAAAAGCACUUUGGAAAGAGAGUUAAACAGUACGUGAAAUUGUCAAAAGGGAAGCGCUUGAGGUUAGAUAUGCA
rnacentral:rRNA from 1 species